GAGUUCCCUUCGGGGACAUUGGUGACAGGUGGUGCAUGGUUGUCGUCAGCUCGUGUCGUGAGAUGUUGGGUUAAGUCCCGCAACGAGCGCAACCCUUGUCUUUAGUUGCCAUCAUUAAGUUGGGCACGCUAGAGAGACUGCCAGGGAUAACCUGGAGGAAGGUGGGGAUGACGUCAAAUCAUCAUGCCCCUUAUGCUUAGGGCUACACACGUGCUACAAUGGGUAGUACAGAGGGUUGCCAA
rnacentral:rRNA from 1 species